rnacentral:rRNA from 1 species
GAUGAACGCUAGCUACAGGCUUAACACAUGCAAGUCGAGGGGAAACGGCAUUAAGUGCUUGCACUUUUUGGACGUCGACCGGCGCACGGGGGAGUAACGCGUAUCCAACCUUCCCAUGACUAAGGGAUAACCUGCCGAAAGGCAGACUAAUACCUUAUGGUCUUCACUGACGGCAUCAGAUGUGAAGUAAAGAUUUAUCGGUUAUGGAUGGGGAUGCGUCUGAUUAGCUUGUUGGCGGGGUAACGGCCCACCAAGGCAACGAUCAGUAGGGGUUCUGAGAGGAAGGUCCCCCACAUUGGAACUGAGACACGGUCCAAACUCCUACGGGAGGCAGCAGUGAGGAAUAUUGGUCAAUGGGCGAGAGCCUGAACCAGCCAAGUAGCGUGCAGGAUGACGGCCCUAUGGGUUGUAAACUGCUUUUGUAUGGGGAUAAAGUCAAUCACGUGUGAUUGUUUGCAGGUACCAUACGAAUAAGGACCGGCUAAUUCCGUG